AUUGAACGCUGGCGGCAGGCCUAACACAUGCAAGUCGAGCGGAUGAAGGGAGCUUGCUCCUGGAUUCAGCGGCGGACGGGUGAGUAAUGCCUAGGAAUCUGCCUGGUAGUGGGGGAUAACGUCCGGAAACGGGCGCUAAUACCGCAUACGUCCUGAGGGAGAAAGUGGGGGAUCUUCGGACCUCACGCUAUCAGAUGAGCCUAGGUCGGAUUAGCUAGUUGGUGGGGUAAGGGCCUACCAAGGCGACGAUCCGUAACUGGUCUGAGAGGAUGAUCAGUCACACUGGAACUGAGACACGGUCCAGACUCCUAUGGGAGGCAGCAGUGGGGAAUAUUGGACAAUGGGCGAAAGCCUGAUCCAGCCAUGCCGCGUGUGUGAAGAAGGUCUUCGGAUUGUAAAGCACUUUAAGUUGGGAGGAAGGGCAGUAAGUUAAUACCUUGCUGUUUUGACGUUACCAACAGAAUAAGCACCGGCUAACUUCGUG
rnacentral:rRNA from 1 species